rfam:Gossypium arboreum cultivar AKA8401 contig_8875_5, whole genome shotgun sequence.
UAUUAAAAAUUUCAUCUAUUUAUAUUAUUAAAAACUGGCGUGACUGAUGAAAUAGUCAAACAGUGAUACAUGGCAUAUUAUAUGUAUCUCAUGUUGGUGUAUAAGAACAAGUUUUUUAACAAUAGAAAUUGAUAAAAUUUUUAAUA